AAUUUAUACAGUGAAACUGCGAAUGGCUCAUUAAAUCAGUUAUCGUUUAUUUGAUAGUUCCUUUACUACAUGGUAUAACUGUGGUAAUUCUAGAGCUAAUACAUGCUUAAAAUCUCGACCCUUUGGAAGAGAUGUAUUUAUUAGAUAAAAAAUCAAUGUCUUCGGACUCUUUGAUGAUUCAUAAUAACUUUUCGAAUCGCAUGGCCUUGUGCUGGCGAUGGUUCAUUCAAAUUUCUGCCCUAUCAACUUUCGAUGGUAGGAUAGUGGCCUACCAUGGUUUCAACGGGUAACGGGGAAUAAGGGUUCGAUUCCGGAGAGGGAGCCUGAGAAACGGCUACCACAUCCAAGGAAGGCAGCAGGCGCGCAAAUUACCCAAUCCUAAUUCAGGGAGGUAGUGACAAUAAAUAACGAUACAGGGCCCAUUCGGGUCUUGUAAUUGGAAUGAGUACAAUGUAAAUACCUUAACGAGGAACAAUUGGAGGGCAAGUCUGGUGCCAGCAGCCGCGGUAAUUCCAGCUCCAAUAGCGUAUAUUAAAGUUGUUGCAGUUAAAAAGCUCGUAGUUGAACUUUGGGCCCGGUUGGCCGGUCCGAUUUUUUCGUGUACUGGAUUUCCAACGGGGCCUUUCCUUCUGGCUAACCUUGAGUCCUUGUGGCUCUUGGCGAACCAGGACUUUUACUUUGAAAAAAUUAGAGUGUUCAAAGCAGGCGUAUUGCUCGAAUAUAUUAGCAUGGAAUAAUAGAAUAGGACGUUUGGUUCUAUUUUGUUGGUUUCUAGGACCAUCGUAAUGAUUAAUAGGGACGGUCGGGGGCAUCAGUAUUCAAUUGUCAGAGGUGAAAUUCUUGGAUUUAUUGAAGACUAACUACUGCGAAAGCAUUUGCCAAGGACGUUUUCAUUAAUCAAGAACGAAAGUUAGGGGAUCGAAGAUGAUCAGAUACCGUCGUAGUCUUAACCAUAAACUAUGCCGACUAGGGAUCGGGUGGUGUUUUUUUAAUGACCCACUCGGCACCUUACGAGAAAUCAAAGUCUUUGGUUUCUG
rnacentral:rRNA from 1 species